UGUAAACAUGUAUAUAUAGGCCCCAAAAACCCUAGAGAAUCAGAUUAGGUAGUGGGGAAAUGCACAGCAAGGAGGGUGAAUUUGUGGUGUGCAAUGGUCCAAUGAUGAAAAUGGAGCAAUGAUGCAAAGUAUGGAGGGUAAAAUGGAGUGGUAUUUCAGCUAGGAAGCAUGAAUGAUUGUGUUCAUUGCAUGGAAAUGAAAAGGGGAGGUGAAAUGUUUCAGAAAUUAGUUAAAGGUGCAGCAACAUGUGUUGCACAAGGCAUUGGAUCCCAAAUGUGGAUGAUGGAGCAUCAAUUGGUGCAUGGAAUGGUUGUGAAAUCUGAUGGGUGAAGGGAAUAAGAGGUAUGCAGCAAUUGAGUGUGAUAAUUGAGUGUAUUGAGGCAUGAAAUCAGAAAUAUUUUAGGGGACAAGGAUGAUUAAGCAUGCAUGGGAAUCCAAAGGGAAUGCUAUGUGGAUUACAUGGCAAGGAUGUGUGUCCUUUUGUGGCUGAGUUCUUGAUCCUUUGUACACUAACUCUUCACAUUCUUAGCCUCUUUAAGUCUUCAAUUUCGUCCAAACCUUGGUUCCAAAUAUGUGACAUGCAUUCCAAGCUCCAUUUUGCUCCAAAAUGCUCCAAAAUGCAUCUUCUUGCCUACUUUGUCCUUAAAAUCUGAAAACACACGAAAAUGACUUUAAACAUUAAAAUAACUAAGGAAACACGACAUAAAUGCACAAGAACAAGCCAACUAAGUCGCAUAAAUAUGCUCCUAUCACCUAUUCUAUGCUAGGUAAGGACAAUGCGGGCUAACAAAGAAAAUAGGCUAAAUAAGGCUCAAAGGGGUUAAACUUACAAAACAUAUGCAAGGGAAUAAGGCUUUUUGGCUGUGGUGGUAACUAAAUAACUUCAUCUUGUCUUUCUUAUGCAAUCAAUUUUAAGCUUUGAAUGAAACGGGCAUGAGUUCUAGUAUUUGGAACUAAAAUAAUGAAAAAGCAUUCCAAGUAGCAACCAAGCAAAGAAAUAAUGAGAUCAUGCAACGACUUUAGAAAGCAAAAAUAUCACAGAUUAAUAACUCUCCAAACAAAGAAUAAGCUCAAGUCUCACAGGGUUAUGGCGUUAGUUUGAGUUUCUUCCUUCAAGCAAGUUACAAAAACUGAUUUUUUUUCCUUUGUGAUUUUAUGUGAAUUCGUUAAUGACAACUGCAACUAAGUAUUAACCAAAGAGCAUAUUUAUGCGCCUUAGUUUAACUUGUUCUUGUGCAUUUAUAGUGUUUUUCCUUAGUAAAGUAGUCUUUUAAGCUAGUUUUAUGUGUUUUCAGGUUCUAAGGGCAAAGUAUGCAAAAGGAUGCAUUUUGGAGCCUUUUGGAGCAAAUUAGAGCUUGGAAUGGACAUCAUAUGCUUGGAGCCAAGAGGAUGGACGAAAUUGAAGAUGAUGUUUCCUACCUGAACAAGGUUUCCUAGUCGAAGUAGGAAAGCGCCUAAGUAAAAGAUGGAAUCCUAGUUGAAUUAGGAUUCCUAGUUGAAAUAGGUUUCCUAGUGAAAUUGGGAUUCCUAGAAGAUAAAGAUUCCUACUCAAACAAGGUUUCCUACUUGGAGUAGGAAAGUUAAAUCCAAAUGGCAUCAAGUUUCAGCAACAAAGAAGUUUUCCAAGUCCAAGAAGGAAAAGGUUUCCAAGAUGAAGAAGGAGAAGAAUUCCAAGCAAGGGAGGAUUGAGACAUGUUUUCCUAAUGCUAGAAGGACUCCUAAGUGUUGUAGGACACAAAUGAGAAGUUUCUAGAAGAAUUCCCCUCCUUGCCGUGAGUUUCUACAAUUCCUAUCAGUUUUGGGGCUUUCUAGAAGCCCUAUCUUUUAUCCUACAAACCUGCCGCACCUAGGACCCUUUUUUCCUUGCAAAAUCUGAUUGUUUAACCUAUUUCCUGAUGGGAUUUAAUCCUCCAAGUCCUAAUCUGAUUCACCUAGGGUUUUAGGGCCCUAUAAAUAGGUGUGCCGCACCCCUUCACAUUCACCACUCACCACACUUCACAAUUCACUCCAGAAAUUCACAAGAACCCUUUGCCGCACCAAUUCACUCCCAUUCACCAUACAAUCUGACCCUGCCGCACCCCCCACCCUUCCUAAACACUUCUACCUUAGUCCAUACUCAUCCACCCAUACAUAUAAGUCCCAACCUGUCCCUAAAGUCCUUUGCCACAGCAAGGAGGAGGAGAAGGAGCCUUGGAAGUUCAUGCCGUGCAAGUUCAAGUGGCUGGAAGUUUUAGGUGUUUCCUUCCCUUUGAUUUCAAUGUUUAAACUUAUUACUCUUUGUUUUAUGCUUAUGAGGAACUAAACCCCCCCUUGGCUAGGGGGGGAUUCGAAAUACAUGAUUAUGCUUGCGAUAUGAUUUGAUUACUUCUAAUUGCGUUUCAUAAGUUGUGAAUUCAAUUUACUUAUCUAUAUGAAUUACAUUGAUUUGUGUGUGUUGGUUGAGAGUGCACGCUUAAUUAUCAUGCAUAAAUUGAAUGCUAGGAUAUAAGGAAAUUUCACCUAAUCGUUAUGUACUUAUAUUCACAAGUAGUAAAGGUUGAUGAUCUCAAUCGCGUUAAGUAAAUUCUUGGCAUAA
rnacentral:lncRNA from 1 species